ensembl:lncRNA
AGGAAGUGGCUGAUGGGGAGUUGUACCUGGACGACGGCCACUCCUUCAGCUACCGUGACAACAAGGCCUUCUGCCUGCGCAGGUUCACCAUGCUGUCAGGCCGUCUGCUCUGCCGUCCUGCCAGUGAAGGAGGAGGAGCGUUUGACUGCGUUACUGUCGUACGGUCAGUCACCGUCCUGGGAAUGAAGAGCAAACCGUCCACAGUGGUUGUGCACGUGUCAGGUGCUAAAGACACCCCCGCUGCCUUUGAAUACAUGGAGACCUGCUGCAUGCUGACAGUGAACAACCUGAAGCUCAGAGUGGCGAUGGACUGGGAGAUACAGAUAGGUUAAUGGUCAAUGUGUCAGUCACUCAUUUUAAAAGCUUAGCAAAGUACACUUGAUUGACUAUAUUUGAAAUGAAGACUUGUUUAUGCAAACUGGCACAUGUGUAGCUACAAACAAGCAAACAAAUAAGUCAAAAGGGACUACACACACUGCUCCACGAUUAUGUUUUAAUCAUUUUACUUGUAUUGAACUUCAGAUUUUUUUUUAUUUAAAACCUCAGAUUUACAGGUUGGCAAAUCCCUCCACUGACUUCUGCUUCAUCGAGUACUGUACUUUUUUAAAUCUGCGUCUAUACUAGGGUUGCACAAUAUAUCGUUUUUUUAUCGUCAUCGCAAUGUCAACUGGCGCGAUAUACACAUCACGAAACACUGCAACAUAUCGCAAAUGACACUGUGUUAGUUGAAAGAAAAUAAUCAGCAGAAAACUGCACUUUAAAAUGUAAUUAUUCUUUUUUAGCGGUGCCUUUAAUAUCAUUUGUUAUUUUUUCAUCAUAUUAUGCAGCCCUAGUCUGUAGUCAGAAACAUCAAAAGAACAAAAGAGACAUAUUUUAAUCUAGGAACUAUGAGAUUGUUUUAAAUUAUCAAAGAUAUCAAGUUUGAUCGUUAAUAAUAAUCAAUGAGAAAUGACGUGGUUUAAAGUUGUGGAGUGAAAGUGUACUGAAUAAAGGGUGCACUGAUGUGCAGCUUCUUGCUGUAACAGACCUUUUAUUCUUAACAUGAUGUCAUGCUAACCUAACACCUGGUGACGAAGCAUAUAUUUUUGCUCAACAGCAUUGCGUUGUGUUGGUGUGACCUCUUCCUAACCCAGAUGUUUUCUUACUUUAGGGUCACAAAAUGGUACAAUAACAAAUGCUCGGAUAAGCCGAAUUCCAAAAUGAGACAUUACAAAGAAAUAGCAGUAAGUGUAUCAAGUCAAAACAGACAGUGUAACAUACAUUUAUUAUAUGCGUGUUAUAUGAGUGCUUUGAGAGUAUAUUUGAAGUUUAGUUUAAUCUCAUAACUCAGUUCCUAAAUGUUAAAGCUACCUAGUUUAAUAAUAAUGCAUUGACUAUCAAGCAAGAGCACUUCGGUGAUAUAGUAUGUUUUAUAGCAAAAGUUAAAAGCUGCUUUAUUAAGGAAGAAAAGAGAAAGAGGGAGACAGACAUAGAGAAGACAAUAUAUACAUUUAAGGAGAAUUAAGUGUACAACCCACAAAGGCCAAAGAAAACAAAAGGGUUUAAGAUUUGGAUUCUCGGAGACCUUUCAGGAGGCUGAGGAGCCCUAACCCUAACCCUAACCCUAACAGCACUCGAUACAAUAAAACCAAUGUCAAUCCUCUUUGCAAAUAUUCUGUAUUUUUUAUGUUUAUUUCUACUUUAAUCCCAGAAUUGUAUUCUGUGUUUUUCUCCACCAGAAAGUCAUUCAUAUCUGAGGGGAAAAUGUUGAUUAUGAUUAUUUUACUGUAAACCGUACCACUACUUUACUGUAAGGUGUUCCACUGUACAUACAUUGCCAGUCUAUUGGUGAUCAUCUCUGCUGUUUAUCAAUACCCCAAAAUAUUGGAUUGAAUUGGUACUUUGCUUUAAAAGGGAUGAUACUUCUCUUGGUAGCAUUAGCCCGCUCUAGUUAUGCUGAGACUGCUCAAUGCUGAGCUCCAUUGAGAAUAGGUUUAAAGGGCUUGAAUGCCUUCUGCUGAGGCAGGGCAUCUAGCGACCCCUCUUUACAUGCCCUCUGGUGCGGCCCACUGGCCUUUGUGUCACCCAACAAUGAUGGCACCGGAGCACCACAGCCAGGGAGAGAUCAUUGUUCAGUUCAGCCAAUGGGAACGCAACAAACAGACGUGUAUGUGAUGUGUGAGUUUUCUGUGCAUGUGUGUGUGUGUGUGUGUGUAUGGUAAUGCAAAGGUGAAUGCAGGUGGAGUCUUUCACACCAAACCUUUGCAUCUACUGUGUGACGAAGGGGAGGGGGACGUCACGCAAAGGAAGAGCCAAUCAGACAUUACCUGUUUGGAUUUAUGCCAGGGCUUUUAGGCUUGUAAGACUUUAGUACAAGUGGCAAAAGCCAGUUU